GGUUUGAUUAUGGCUCAGAUUGAACGCUGGCAGGAUGCUUUACACAUGCAAGUCGAACAACCUUUGGUUCGGUCUGGUAGUGAACGGGUGAGUAUCGGAACGUGCCUGGUAGCGGGGGAUAACUACGCGAAAGCGUAGCUAAUGCCACAUACGCCCUUCGGGGAAAAGCGGGGACCUUCGGGCCUCGCACUAUUAGAGCGGCCGAUAUCGGAUUAGCUAGUUGGUGGAAGUAACGGCUCACCAAGGCGACGAGUCCGUAAGCUGGUUUUGAAGGAGGACGACCAGCCACACUGGGACUGAGACACGGCCGGAACUCCUACGGGGAGGCAGCAGUGGGGAAUUUUGGACAAUAGAGGAAACCCUGAUCAGCCAUCCCGCGUGUGCGAUGAAGGCCUUCAGGUUGUAAAGCACUUUUUGGCAGGAAAAAAGCGGCACCGGGAUAAUACCCCGUGCAACUGACGGUACCUGCAGAAUAAGCACCGGCUAACCGUGCCAGCAGCCGCGGUAAUGUACGUAGGGUGCAAGCGUUAAUCGGAAUUACUGGGCGUAAAGCGUGCGCAGGCGGUUCGGAAAGAAAGAUGUGAAAUCCCAGAGCUUAACUUUGGAACUGCAUUUUUAACUACCGAGCUAGAGUGUGUCAGAGGGAGGUGGAAUUCCGCCGUGUAGCAGUGAAAUGCGUAGAUAUGGAGGAACACCGAUGGCGAAGGCAGCCUCCUGGGAUAACACUGACGCUCAUGCACGAAAGCAUUAUGGGGAGCAAACAGGAUUAAGAUACCCUGGUAGUCCACGCCCUAAACGAUGUCAACUAGCUGUUGGGGCCUUCGGGCCUUGAGUAGCGCAACUAACGCGUGAAGUUGACCGCCUGGGGAAGGUACGGUCGCAAAAUUAAAACUCAAAGGGAGUGUGAGGGGACCCGCACAAGCGGUGGAUGAUGUGGAUUAAUUCGAUGCAACGCGAAAACCUUACCUACCCUUGACAUGUCUGGAAUCCCGAAGAGAUUUGGGAGUGCUCGCAAGAGAACCGGAACACAGGUGCUGCAUGGCUGUCGUCAGCUCGUGUCGUGAAGAUGUUGGGUUAAGUCCCGCAACUUGAGCACAACCCUUGUCAUUAGUUGCUACGAAGGGCACUCUAAUGAGACUGCCGGUGACAAACCGGAGGAAGGUGGGGAUGACGUCAAGUCCUCAUGGCCCUUAUAGGUAGGGCUUCACACGUCAUACAAUGGUCGGGACAGAGGGUCGCCAACCCGCGAGGGAGCCAAUCCCAGAAACCCGAUCGUAGUCCGGAUCGCAGUCUGCAACUCGACUGCGUGAAGUCGGAAUCGCUAGUAAUCGCGGAUCAGCAUGUCGCGGUGAAUACGUUCCCGGGUCUUGUACACACCGCCCGUCACACCAUGGGAGUGGGUUUACCAGAAGUAGUUAGCCUAACCGUAAGGAGGAGGCGAUUACCACGGUAGGAUUCAUGACUGGGGUGAAGUCAGCAACUGGAAAUAG
rnacentral:rRNA from 1 species